rnacentral:other from 1 species
UGGCGGCUGCCCGAUAUGUCAGGAAACAUAUCCCCGGGGCCUUACGCAUUCCUUUGGGAGCUGUCCCUGUUUCGGACCGUGGUCUGUCGCAUACGGCGCCCACCUACACAGUAGGUUCUCCGGGAUUGCUCAUUCCAACGGUCGGGUGGCUGCUCU